rnacentral:tRNA from 1 species
AGAAAAGUAAGCUAAAUAAAGCUAAUGGGUUCAUACCCCAUUUAUAGAGAUAUUUCUCUCUUCUCUA